rnacentral:rRNA from 1 species
UGGUGGGGUAACGGCCCACCAAGCCGAAGAUCCGUACGGGCUGUGAGAGCAGGAGCCCGGAGAUGGACCCUGAGACAAGGGUCCAGGCCCUACGGGGCGCAGCAGGCGCGAAACCUCCGCAAUGCGGGAAACCGCGACGGGGUCAGCCGGAGUGCCGAUGCUCGCAUCGGCUGUCGGGGUGCCUAAAAAGCACCCCAUAGCAAGGGCCGGGCAAGGCCGGUGGCAGCCGCCGCGGUAAUACCGGCGGCCCGAGUGGCGGCCACUAUUAUUGGGCCUAAAGCGUCCGUAGCCGGGCUGGUAAGUCCUCCGGGAAAUCUGGUCGCUUAACGAUCAGACUUCCGGAGGAUACUGCUGGCCUAGGGACCGGGAGAGGCCGAGGGUAUUCCCGGGGUAGGGGUGAAAUCCUGUAAUCCCGGGAGGACCACCUGUGGCGAAGGCGCUCGGCUGGAACGGGUCCGACGGUGAGGGACGAAGGCCAGGGGAGCGAACCGGAUUAGAU